rnacentral:rRNA from 1 species
GGCGAACGCUGGCGGCGCGCCUAACACAUGCAAGUCGAGCGAUGAAAUUUUAACCGAUCUCUUCGGAGAGAAGAUAAAAUGGAUUAGCGGCGGACGGGUGAGUAACACGUGAGAAACCUGCCUUUCACAAGGGGAUAGCCUCGGGAAACCGGGAUUAAUACCCUAUGACACAUUUCCUUCGCAUGGAAGAAAUGUUAAAACUCCGGUGGUGAAAGAUGGUCUCGCGCCUGAUUAGCUAGUUGGUGGGGUAACGGCCCACCAAGGCCAUGAUCAGUAACCGGCCUGAGAGGGUGAACGGUCACAUUGGAACUGAGACACGGUCCAAACUCCUACGGGAGGCAGCAGUGGGGAAUAUUGCACAAUGGAGGAAACUCUGAUGCAGCGACGCCGCGUGAGCGAUGAAGGCUUUCGAGUCGUAAAGCUCUGUCCUAUGGGAAGAUAAUGACGGUACCAUAGGAGGAAGCCCCGGCUAACUACGUG